ACUGUUCCCGACAUCUGCAAAACCAACUGGGAAUGAUUAAUCGAUGAUGCUCUUUGUAAUUACUAGGCAAGAGGAGGCCUGAGCACUUGACCAUGCGAUUUGUCAAGGACAGCUGGGGGUAUCCACAGCCACAUGGGGAACCCUCCAUAACCGGGAAAGGCUAUCAUCUUGUUUGCUCCGGUGUGGUAUGCAACUGGGGGGGGGGGGGGGGCACCAAACCAGCAGAUUAUCACAUGGGUUAAGAGGUUACAAAUUUCGAGGAGAGAUUGAAGUCUUUCCUUGUUCAGCUCCAAACAGAGUGAGGUAUCCUUGAACGACUUAUCUACAAGGGCAAAAACCAGCACCACCGAUGCCUAUAUUUCCAAUAUCUUUUGAAGGUUAGGAGGGAUGUGAGACUUUUGCAAUCAGCUGCAUUUUGAAACACCUCUUUCAACUCAUCAAUGGAAAUAAACCUUUACAAGCCGUGCAUCUUUUGGAAAGUUUAAAGAGAAGAAAAGUUAGACAGAGGAAAGGCCAAUUUUCUAGAGGGACUUUUGGGAGUUUCACGUCUAUUGUCAGAGAUGGUUGAGCCCAUGGUGAAGGCAGCUAUGUAUCCUUUUGAGUAGAUGUUCCUGUACAUCAUCUGUGCUUGGUAGCUUCUUGUUUAUCGAUAUUGACUAUUGCUAGAAGGCCAAAACUUGGGCCAUAGCUUGAGUAUUCAAGAGAUAAGCUGUUAC